GUCAUAGGGUUGGGGUCGUUCGGGAUGGGAGAAGAUAUUGAACUUAAAAUGUAAUUUAUCGAACUUGUUUUAUGCCCAAAUUAAAAAAAUAUUUCAAGGAACCUAUAUUCAUAGAGACAAUUAGUAUUUUGAAACAAAACAUGAAAAAAAAUAGAAAACAUUUUCAUCCAUACCAAACAUAACCAUAGAGAAAACUCAUAAACAUCUGCCAAAACUAAGAUUUUUGCUAUAGAAAAUCAAAUCAACCAAAGUCCAUAGUUUUCACUCCUGCGACAGACACACAUCCUACACCGGAUGAACUAGCUAUGAAAAUAAAUAUGCUGGCCUUUACGGCAACAGACAUGUUCAUCCUCCAUCGAAUGAACUAUGAAAAUCAAAUAGAAUUAUCUUUACAACGAUAGAUGUUCAUCCUCUACGAAUGAACUAUUAAAGCAAAUAUGAUGACCCUCACGGUUUCUUCUAACUAAGUUGGCUUUGGCUGAUGAAACAAACAUGGAUCAUUUGGGAUUUGUAGACGCCAAAUUUUGUCCCUCCCAAAACUCAAUUUAUCCAUUUUUUACCUCUUGUUAUUAUAUACCCUCAUCCGUAUGAUUAUAUCCCACAAAAAUACAAAAAAUAACAACCCUUAACAAAAUCUCUAACAAAUUAAAUCCCUAACCUUAUCGUAAAAAACUUUAUCCUAACAAAUCUUAUCAUCACCACCCCUACCCUCUCCCACGUGACCAUACCUCCUCCUUUUAUAUUAUUUUACACGGUGUUAGCUUGGAGAAAAAGAAAAAUCUCUCACACCAUGAGGGAUAUAUACACACAUACGGGCCCCACCACUAAGGGGACACCAUAAACAUCAUCUUCUCCACCUUAUACCAUCACAACAAGACACUUCAUUCUUCCACUCACGAAAAAAGGAAAACACCAACAUUAUCUUUCAUUUCUUCUGGCUCACGGAUACACUCACCAACCUCACGAUAUCUGGGGACACAUACACUGAUAUAGGGAAAUCGAGGAGUGAGGUGACCGGAGAGAAUAAAGAUAGGAGUGGGAGAGAUCGAUUGAGAGAGAAAUUGAGAAAACGAGGAGAUUGACAGAGAGAACUGGUCAGAGAGUGAGAAAACCAGAGAGAAAGGGAUUCUCAAGUUUUCCCGGCCCGUUCGAGUUAACUUGCCCUGUGCCGAAAACCCAACAUACCUUGUCGUUUCUUUUUGUUUCAGGCGAUACCAUCGGAAAGAAGUGAACAGUAAUAGCACCAUCAACAUUUCUUUUUUAAAUCGAUUCUAAACAAUUUAACGCUGGUGUUGUAUUUGGAUUUGGGUUUUGUUUAUCUCGGUGGGUUCAUCGUGCUCUGUCUUAGGUCACAGUUUUCUCGAUACCAAGCUGAGAUUUGCUCACUGGCCUUUGUGGGUUUUUUUUUGGGAUCGGGUUUUGAAGAUUGUCGUGUUGGAGUUGGUUCGUAGUCGAGUUGUGGUAUUCUUCGAGGCUGAUUUGGGGUUCUUCGUCACACGGAGUCGUCUUCUCGAUUGAUUGAUAUUUGAAAUAAAAUCAUCAUUGAGUUUGAGAAGUAUGAUGGACAUGGUGAUCCUAUUGCACACUUGAUACGUUAUUGCUACCAACUAAGGGGUGCUGGGGGAAGGAAGAACUACUCAUGGCUUAUUUCGGGGAGAAUCUUUCAGGACUAGCUUUGGAAUGGUUUGUUGACCAAGACAUUGACAAGUGGUUUAGUUUGGAUGACCUAGAUAAUGAAUUUGUGCAACAAUUUUAAUACAAUGUGGAGUUGAUUCCUGACGAAAAAUCCCUAAAUAGUAUAAAAAAGAAGAAUACUGAGAGUUUCAGGAAAUAUGCGAUCAGAUGGUGUGAACAAGCUGCUAGAGUAAAACCGCCAAUGAAAGAAAGAAAAAUAGUAGAGGAGUUUAUUCAAGCGUAGAAUGGAACAUAUUAUCAACACUUGUUACCUGCAUUGGGCAAGUCAUUUAUUGAGGUCCUUAAAAUGGUGGAGAUGAUAGAAGAGGGAAUUAAGACGGGUCGCAUUGUGAGUUUUGCAACAUUGAAAGCGACAACUCAAGCAAUUCAAAAGGGUUCAGGAAGUAUUGGGGAGACAAAGAAUAAGGAAGUUCCAUCCUCUAUUGUAGUCGGACAGCGGGCACGGUCAAGAAGACCCCAUUGUCGUCACUCUCAGGCUCAAACCCAAGUUCAUGUCCAAACUCCACAUAAUCAUUCCCAAAAUCUAUUAUACUCUACUCCUCCACCUCUAUAUCCAGUAUAUAACGCAUAACCACAUGUUCAACCCCCAUCUUACCCACAGUGGAACACACCAACUCCUCAGAGUCAUUCUCUAACUCCGUAAACAUACCAAAACCCUCCUAAGCCUAAUUUAUCCAAGCCAAAUGAUGAAAUAAGGAAGAAGUCGAGAGAUAGCUUCAUACCAAUUGAAGAGUCGUAUGGAAGUUUAUUUCAGAGAUUAGUACAAUAGGGUAUGAUCACUCCUCUCCUUGGGUGCACUCUUAAUUAGCGUUCAAGAAAUUUUGAUCCUAAUGUACGAUGUGCGUAUCAUUAUGAUGCUCAGGGUCAUAGUAUUGAAGAUUGUUGAGAUUUGAAAAGAGAAAUUGAAAAGAUGAUUCUAGAUGAAUCAAUUAUGGUGCAGAACAUUGACAGUGAGGGAAGCUCUAGUCAUGUUGAUAUACAAACCAGUGGCUAAGUUGUCAGGCUGAGUAAUUGAGAAGUCACCCCUCUCCCUACUAGGCUAAGUCACCUCAGUGGAUAAGUGGCUCACUGGCCUUCGUGGGUUUUGUUUUGGGAUCGGGUUUUGAAGAUUGUCGUAUUGGAGUUGGUUCGUAGUCGAGUUGUGGUAUUUUUUGAGGCAGACUCGAGGUUCUUCAUCACACAGAGUCGUCUUCUCGAUUGACUGAUAUUCGAAAUAAAAUCAUCAUUGAGGUCCAUUUCUACUCCUUUCCUCUUUUUAUUUCAUUAUUGAUGGAAUAUGGUGCAUUGGAUGGAAUCUCGUGUGUUGUUUGAUCUUGAUUGGUUAUGAAUUGCUACUUUGAUAUUAA